rnacentral:rRNA from 1 species
GCGACGCCACGUGAGGGAUGACGGCCUUCGGGUUGUAAACCUCUUCAGCAGGGAAGAAGCGAAAGUGACGGUACCUGCAGAAGAAGCGCCGGCUAACUACGUGCCAGCAGCCGCGGUAAUACGUAGGGCGCAAGCGUUGUCCGGAAUUAUUGGGCGUAAAGAGCUCGUAGGCGGUCUGUCGCGUCUGGUGUGAAAUCCCAUGGCUCAACUGUGGGCUUGCAUCGGGUACGGGCAGACUAGAGUGCUGUAGGGGAGACUGGAAUUCCUGGUGUAGCGGUGGAAUGCGCAGAUAUCAGGAGGAACACCGAUGGCGAAGGCAGGUCUCUGGGCAGUUACUGACGCUGAGGAGCGAAAGCAUGGGGAGCGAACAGGAUUAGAUACCCUGGUAGUCCAUGCCGUAAACGUUGGGCACUAGGUGUGGGGCGGGUUCCACUCGUUCUGUGCCGCAGCUAACGCAUUAAGUGCCCCGCCUGGGGAGUACGGCCGCAAGGCUA